GAUCCUGGCUCAGGACGAACGCUGGCGGCGUGCUUAACACAUGCAAGUCGAACGAAGAGCGAUGGAAGCUUGCUUCUAUCAAUCUUAGUGGCGAACGGGUGAGUAACGCGUAAUCAACCUGCCCUUCAGAGGGGGACGAACAGUUGGAAACGACUGCUAAUACCGCAUACGAUCUGACCUCGGCAUCGAGGAUAGAUGAAAGGUGGCCUCUAUUUAUAAGCUAUCACUGAAGGG
rnacentral:rRNA from 1 species